rnacentral:rRNA from 1 species
UACGGAGGGGGGCAAGCGUUGUUCGGAAUUACUGGGCGUAAAGGGCGCGCAGGCGGCUGCUCAAGUCAGGCGUGAAAACCCGGGGCUCAACCCCCGGGCCUGCAUUCGAUACGGGCAGACUAGAGUUCGGUAGGGGAGUCUGGAAUUCCUGGUGUAGCGGUGAAAUGCGCAGAUAUCAGGAGGAACACCGGUGGCGAAGGCGGGACUCUGGGCCGAUACUGACGCUGAGGAGCGAAAGCGUGGGGAGCAAACAGG